rnacentral:rRNA from 1 species
UACGAAGGGGGCUAGCGUUGUUCGGAAUUACUGGGCGUAAAGGGCGCGUAGGCGGCUUGGCAAGUGGAUGGUGAAAUCCCUCGGCUUAACCGAGGAACUGCCAUCCAGACUGCUUUGCUUGAGGCCGGGAGAGGCGAGUGGAAUUCCCAGUGUAGCGGUGAAAUGCGUAGAUAUUGGGAGGAACACCAGUGGCGAAGGCGGCUCGCUGGACCGGUUCUGACGCUGAUGCGCGAAAGCGUGGGGAGCAAACGGG